rnacentral:rRNA from 1 species
GACGAACGCUGGCGGCGUGCUUAACACAUGCAAGUCGAACGGAAAGGUCCUGCCUUUUUGGGGUGCUCGAGUGGCGAACGCGUGAGUAACACAUGAGUAACCUGCCCUUGACUUUUGGAUAACUUCAGGAAACAGGGGCUAAUACCAGAUAGGUGCUCCUGCUGCAUGGUGGGGUUUGGAAAGUUUCGGUGGAUGGGGAUGGACUCGUCGGUUAGCAGCUUGUUGGUGUGGUGGUGGCUUACGAAGGCUUUGGAGAGUAGCCGGCCUGAGACGGUGACCGAGAAACGUAGGAGUCAGAUACGGGCGGGAGCCGUGCGGAAUGCUGCAGAGGGGUAUAUUGCACGAUGGACGGAAGCCUGAUGCAGCAACGACGCGUGCGGGAUGACGGCCUGCGGGUUGUAGACAGCAUUCGCCUGUGACGGAGGGUGGGUGACGGUAAUGGGUAAAGAAGCACCGGCUAACUACGUG